rnacentral:tRNA from 1 species
UGCCCUAGUAGCUUACUGUUAAAGCGCCGGUCUUGUAAUCCGGAGAUCGGGGGCUAAAAUCCUCCCUAGUG